rnacentral:rRNA from 1 species
CCUACGGGUGGCAGCAGUGGGGAAUAUUGCACAAUGGGGGAAACCCUGAUCCAGCGACGCCGCGUGAGUGAAGAAGUAUUUCGUUAUGUAAAGCUCUAUCAGCAGGGAAGAAAAUGACGGUACCUGAGUAAGAAGCCCCGGCUAACUACGUGCCAGCAGCCGCGGUAAUACGUAGGGGGCAAGCGUUAUCCGGAUUUACUGGGUGUAAAGGGAGCGUAGACGGCAGUGCAAGUCUGGAGUGAAAGGCGGGGGCUUAACCCCCGGACUGCUCUGGAAACUGUACGGCUGGAGUGCAGGAGGGGUAAGUGGAAUUCCUAGUGUAGCGGUGAAAUGCAUAGAUAUCACGCAGAACACCGAUGGCGAAGGCAGCAUACCGGCGCGCAACUGACGCUGAUGCACGAAAGCGUGGGUAGCGAACAGGAUUAGAUACCCGUGUAGUC